GCUCCUCCAUUCUGAGGUGACACUCAGUCCAAUUAAAACUGAUCUGAUAGGACCUCAGAUCAGGCUCAGGGGAAGCUGGGAUAUCUGGUGGAGGAAGAAUCGGAAGAGCUCACCCAUCCUUACCCUGAACCUGAAUCUCCGCUUCUUAAAAACAAGGUGAACCACAAAUGUGUAGUGGCUUAUUUAAAAUACGAACAUACAUGUGUAAAUGAGGAGAGGGGAAAUAAAUGCAUUGAUUUCACUGUCCCUUUAUCAUUUUUGCCGUAUCUUCAGGCUGGUAUGAGGGUAGUUGUGGUUCAUCUGAUGUAUUUCUUUACUUGGUCUAGCUGUCGGCCAGACGUCACUUUAAUACCAAACUUAGAGGAGUUAAUUUUGUUUUCUUCUUUUGAGACUCUCUACGCAUCAUCCUUGUUCUUGGCAUUUAGUGGAAAUAAAAUAAAACAGUGCUUGUGGUUUGUUUUGAUUUGUCAGGUUCCACUUCACUUCCAGACUUGAGAGCAUAUGUACAUUGUUAGUCCCAUAAUAGGGCGUGUCUUUCUCCUCCACUUUUUGAGCUCACAUUGAUUGCUCUUGUCCCCUUACUGUAAAAUAUAAUUAAUGAUGAUCAAAAGAUUUUCAAGACUGAAGAUUUGUUUAAUUUUGCGCUGCUUUUAAUGUUCAUGUUGUCUUGAUGAAUAAAAAAAAGUGGAAAAACCUGUGAA